rnacentral:snRNA from 1 species
GUGCUCGCUUCAGCAGCACAUAUACUAAAAUCGGAACGAUACAGAGAAGAUUAGCGUGGCCCCUGUGCAAGGAUGACAUGCAAAUUCGUGAAGCAUUCCAUAUUUUU